AUUUAAUUCAAGCCUAACUCAGCCCCUAGUUCUCCCCACUUAAUGGCUGCUCAGAGGCCUGUGUAAACUUGUUCACUGGUCUCGGUCCAGUCAUUGGUGGCCAACUGUCCAUGACCAACGGCCCAUUGUUUGCCUGGGAGGCACCGACUGCUGACAUGUGUGUUUCGUGUUCCUCUCCUGAUAAUGAGCUCAGGAUAUUGAAUGAAGAGUUGAGAAUUUAUGAAAACCUUAUGUGAAUUGCUCGUCUUCCCUACUGCAUGUCGGCCACCCUGCUGUGUUUUUUCUUUUAUGCCAAACAAAAUGGUCUCUUCAUUGUUGAAAGGGCUGGUAAAUGCCAAGAGAAUUCUCCUGCUGUAAAUGACAUUUUUGCUCUACCACUUCUUUUCAUCCAACUGAGUGAGCUCCAGCUACGUCCGUGGAAACGACGGCAGACUUUAUUUUUGGGGGCUCCAAAAUCACUGCAGAUGGUGACUGCAGCUAUGAAAUUAAAAGACACUUGCUCCUUGGAAGAAAAGUUAUGACCAACCUAGACAGUGUAUUAAAAAGCAGAGACAUUACUUUGCCAACAAAGGUCCGUCUAGUCAAGGCUAUGGUUUUUUCAGUGGUCAUGUAUGGAUGUGAGAGUUAGACUGUGAAUAAAGCUGAGUGCCGAAAAAUUGAUGCUUUUGAA
rnacentral:lncRNA from 1 species